GCUUAACACAUGCAAGUCGAGCGAGAACGUCGACUUCGGUCGACUAGUACAGCGGCGAACGGGUGAGUAACACGUGGGCAACCUGUCUUGGAGUGGGGGAUAACCUGGGGAAACUCGGGCUAAUACCGCAUACGUUCUCGGCACUGAGUGUGCUGAGAGGAAAGCUGGCCAAUUCUUGAAAGCUGGCGCUCUUUGAGGGGCCCGCGCCCGAUUAGCUUGUUGGUGGGGUAACGGCCCACCAAGGCUGCGAUCGGUAGCCGGCCUGAGAGGGUGAUCGGCCACACUGGGACUGAGACACGGCCCAGACUCCUACGGGAGGCAGCAGUGGGGAAUAUUGGACAAUGGGCGAAAGCCUGAUCCAGCAACGCCGCGUGGGAGGACGAAGGCCUUCGGGUCGUAAACUCCUGUCAGGUUGGGACGAAAAGCUGCCGGUCAAUAGCCGGCAAGUCAUGACGGUACCAGGCAGAGGAAGCCCCGGCUAACUCCGUGCCAGCAGCCGCGGUAAUACGGAGGGGGCUAGCGUUAUUCGGAAUUAUUGGGCGUAAAGGGCACGUAGCGGCUCGGUAAGUCAAAGGUGAA
rnacentral:rRNA from 1 species